AGGCGCGAAAACUUUACAAUGCGGGAAACCGCGAUAAGGGGACACCGAGUGCCAGCAUCUUAUGUUGGCUGUCCGUAUGUGUAAACAGCAUGCGUUAGCAAGGGCCGGGCAAGACCGGUGCCAGCCGCCGCGGUAACACCGGCGGCCCGAGUGGUGAUCACUAUUAUUGGGUCUAAAGGGUCCGUAGCCGGUUUGAUCAGUCUUUUGGGAAAUCUGACAGCUCAACUGUUAGGCUUCCAAGGGAUACUGUCAGACUUGGGACCGGGAGAGGUAAGAGGUACCACAGGGGUAGGAGUGAAAUCUUGUAAUCCCUGUGGGACCACCAGUGGCGAAGGCGUCUUACCAGAACGGGUCCGACGGUGAGGGACGAAAGCUGGGGGCACGAACCGGAUUAGAUACCCGGGUAGUCCCAGCCGUAAACGAUGCUCGCUAGGUGUCAUGGACGGUGCGACCGUUCAUGGUGCCGCAGGGAAGCCGUGAAGCGAGCCACCUGGGAAGUACGGCCGCAAGGCUGAAACUUAAAGGAAUUGGCGGGGGAGCACUACAACGGGUGGAGCCUGCGGUUUAAUUGGACUCAACGCCGGAAAACUCACCGGGGGCGACAGCAAUAUGUAGAUCAGGCUAAAGACCUUAUCUGAAUCGCUGAGAGGAGGUGCAUGGCCGUCGUCAGUUCGUACUGUGAAGCAU
rnacentral:rRNA from 1 species